rnacentral:rRNA from 1 species
UGCCCUAGUAACGGCGAGUGAAGCGGCAAUAGCUCAAAUUUGAAAGCUGGCCUCUGGUCCGCAUUGUAAUUUGUAGAGGAUGCUUUUAGGCAGCCGCCGGUCUAAGUUCCUUGGAACAGGACGUCAUAGAGGGUGAGAAUCCCGUAUGUGACCGGCUCAGGCACCUUCUGUAAAGCUCCUUCGACGAGUCGAGUUGUUUGGGAAUGCAGCUCUAAAUGGGAGGUAAAUUUCUUCUAAAGCUAAAUACUGGCGAGAGACCGAUAGCGCACAAGUAGAGUGAUCGAAAGAUGAAAAGCACUUUGGAAAGAGAGUUAAAAAGCACGUGAAAUUGUUGAAAGGGAAGCGCUUGCAAUCAGACUUGGCUUAGAUUGUUCAACCGGUCUUCUGACCGGCCUAUUCAUUCUGAGCCAGGCCAGCAUCAGUUUCGGCGGCCGGAUAAAGGCCUUGGGAAUGUGGCCCUCCCUUCGGGGUGGGUGUUAUAGCCCAGGGUGUAAUACGGCCAGCCGGGACUGAGGUCCGCGAUUCGUCUAGGAUGCUGGCGUAAUGGUUGUAAGCGGCCCGUCUUGAAACACGGAC